rnacentral:rRNA from 1 species
UGGGGAAUAUUGCACAAUGGACGGAAGUCUGAUGCAGCAACGCCGCGUGCGGGAUGACGGCCUUCGGGUUGUAAACCGCUUUUUCUCAUGACGAAGUUUUUUGUCGGUAGUGGGGGAAGAAGCACCGGCUAACUACGUGCCAGCAGCCGCGGUGAUACGUAGGGUGCGAGCGUUGUCCGGAAUUAUUGGGCGUAAAGAGCUUGUAGGCGGUUUGUCGCGUCGAUAGUGCAAACUCAGUGCUUAACGCUGAGCCUGCUGUUGAUACGGGCAGACUAGAGGAAGGUAGGGGAGAAUGGAAUUCCCGGUGGAGCGGUGGAAUGCGCAGAUAUCGGGAGGAACACCGGUGGCGAAGGCGGUUCUCUGGGCCUUUCCUGACGCUGAGAAGCGAAAGCGUGGGGAGCGAACAGG